rnacentral:misc_RNA from 1 species
UACGUAGGGGGCAAGCGUUGUCCGGAAUUAUUGGGCGUAAAGGGCGCGCAGGCGGUUCUUUAAGUCCGGUGUCUAAGCCCGCGGCUCAACUGCGGGACGCACCGGAAACUGGGGGGCGGGAGUGCAGGAGAGGAGAGCGGAAUUCCACGUGUAGCGGUGAAAUGCGUAGAGAUGUGGAGGAACACCAGUGGCGAAGGCGACUCUUUGGCCUAUAACUGACGCUGAGGCGCGAAAGCGUGGGGAGCAAACAGG